UGGGGAAUAUUGGACAAUGGGGGCAACCCUGAUCCAGCAAUGCCGCGUGUGUGAAGAAGGUCUUCGGAUUGUAAAGCACUUUCGACGGGGACGAUGAUGACGGUACCCGUAGAAGAAGCCCCGGCUAACUUCGUGCCAGCAGCCGCGGUAAUACGAAGGGGGCUAGCGUUGCUCGGAAUGACUGGGCGUAAAGGGCGUGUAGGCGGUUUACACAGUCAGAUGUGAAAUCCCCGGGCUUAACCUGGGAGCUGCAUUUGAUACGUGUAGACUAGAGUGUGAGAGAGGGUUGUGGAAUUCCCAGUGUAGAGGUGAAAUUCGUAGAUAUUGGGAAGAACACCGGUGGCGAAGGCGGCAACCUGGCUCAUGACUGACGCUGAGGCGCGAAAGCGUGGGGAGCAAACAGGAUUAGAUACCCUGGUAGUCCACGCCUGUAAACGAUGUGUGCUAGAUGUUGGGU
rnacentral:rRNA from 1 species